rnacentral:lncRNA from 1 species
UUGCGUUUGUGCUACAAUCAGCCUCUCAUUUUGCUACAACCCACCCCCCGGCGUUGAAACAUUUGCUACAACCGGUGUUUUUUUUUUGUUGCAACCGGUAUAUAUUUUUGCUGCAACAGGCGAUUUGUUUUGCUACACCCGUUUCAUGUUUUUCUACAUUCAUUCAUGGCCGAGUUGAGUUCCGGGAUGACAUCGCCUUUUCUUGCUGCAACCGUUGUAGUUUUUGCUACACCCAUCGAGGAAUUUUGCUACAUCCCCUUUUUUCCUCGUGGAGCUGCAAGCUCGACGGCGGUGUUGAGGAUUUUUUCCUGCAACCGUUGUCUUCAUUUGCUACGACCGACACGGGAAAAUGCUACAACGGGCAUCUUUGUUUUUUGCUGGAACGAGUCAAUCAUUGAUGAGGCGGAGCUGCAUCCAUGACAAAAAAAAGCUACAACUCGCAUGAUUUUUUGCUGGAACCAGCUUUAGCAUCGGUUAGCCAGAAAACACUAGUAGAUUUCCUACCACGGGUCAGCUUGGGGAUCUCCGGCGAGUGCGGGCAGCCAGAACGGCGAGCACGGACGGCCGGGGCGACGAGCGCGGGGCGGCGCCAUGGCCGGUGCGACGAAGNNNNNNNNNNGUCGAGGAAUUUUGCUACAUCCCCUUUUUUCCUCGUGGAGCUGCAAGCUCGACGGCGGCGAUGAGGAUUUUUUCCUGCAACCAUUGUCUUCAUUUGCUACGACCAACAUGGGAAAAAUACUACAACGGGCAUCUCUGUUUUUUGCUGAACGAGUCAAUCAUUGAUGAGGCGGAGCUGCAUCCAUGACAAAAAAAGCUACAACUCGCAUGAUUUUUUGCUGGAACCAGCUUUAGCAUCGGUCAGCCAGAAAACACUAGUAGAUUUCCUACCACGGGUCAGCUCGGGGAUCUCCGGCGAGUGCGGGCAGCCAGAACGGCGAGCACGGACGGCCGGGGCGACGAGCGCGGGGCGGCGCCAUGGCCGGUGCGACGAAGCACGGGCGGCGCCCUUGCCGGGGCGACAAGUGAUGCGGCGGGCAGCCGGGGCGACGAGCGCGGGCGGCGCCAUGGCCGGGGCGACGAGCGCCACAGGCGGCGAGGGCGACGAGCACGGCCGGUGCCAAGGCGGCAAGCGUGGGCUUCGUGGUCGCGCAUCCAUGGCGGCCUUGACUGGCUCGCUCCUCUCUCUCUAUCAUCAUCAACCUCUCCUUCCGCCUUGCUGGAUCAAGAAGGAGNNNNNNNNNNNNNNNNNNNNNNNNNNNNNNNNNNNNNNNNNNNNNNNNNNNNNNNNNNGGGGCGACGAGCGAUGCAGCGGGCGGCCGGGGCGACGAGUGCAGGCGGCGCCAUGGCCGGGGCGACGAGCGCCACCGGCGACGAGGGCGACGAGCACGGGCGGUGCCAAGGCGGCAAGCGCGGGCUUCGUGGUCGCGCAUCCAUGGCGGCCUUGACUGGCUCGCUCCUCUCUCUGUUUGCUGGAGACGCUGAAGACGAGGAUAAGGUAAGGAAAAAAUAGAAUAAGAAGUUGCGAUCUGAUGGUCUCGUGCAGCCAGAUCGGGCGGCUGGGGCAGACCGGCCGAAACUUUCGGCCGCACCGGCGCCCAGUGCUGCCCCACCUUUAAAGGUGCCUGUGGAAUUAUACUCGUCGUGUAUGGUUGGUUUACCACCACUGCACGCUAGGUACUUACUUAGGUAGCCAGCUUGGGCUAUAUAUACGGUCGGUCCGAUACGUGCAAGGUGCAACAGCGCACCACAGAUCAGUCAGUGCAACGAACUCAUUUACGUACGAUCCUAGCUAGAGCUUGGACGAGGAUGUGCAACUGCGGUACGGUAGGACCUUCAGCUACGACCGGCAGCUGCACAUCCAUGCCCAAGCUCUACCUACUGUCGUCACUACUGUAGCUGCUCCACGCUCAGCGACCCCUGCGCCGCGCGUGUGCCCAUGGCGACGGAGGUGACCCUGCGCCGCUUCGACCUCUCGGACGUGGACGCCAUGAUGGCAUGGGCGUCCGACCCCGAGGUCGCCGCCUUCUGCCGCUGGGCGCCCUUCGCGUCCACGGAGACGGAAGCCCUGCUCGCCCACAUCCGGGACACCGCGCUCUCGCACCAGUGGUACCGCGCCAUCUGCCUCGCCGGCGACGCUCGCCCCGUCGGCUCGGUGUCCCUGGAGCCCACGGCUGACCCGUGCCGCGGGGAGCUCGGCUACGUGGUGGCCCGCGCGCACUGGGGCAGGGGCGUGGCCACCGCCGCCGUGAGGGCCGCGCUCGCCGCGGUGUUCGGCGAGGUGGAGGGGCUGGCGCGCGUGGAGGCGCUGGUGGACGUGGACAACGCGGCGUCGCAGCGCGUGGCGGAGAAGGCCGGGUUCCGCCGCGAGGGCGUCCUGCGGCGCCACUACUGGCACAAGGGCCGCGUCAGGGAUCUCGUCGUCUACGGCUUCGUCUCCGGCGACCCCUUGCCCCCAUCACAUGAGGAUGAGGUAUGUAAGCCACUCACUCGCCUUGGCCUCGUGCGUCCAGCGUCUCACUCUGUCCAACGAACUAGGCUCGGAGAUCGAUGGAGCGAGAAGCGGCAGCCCGGACGCCGGAGCGCGCGGACGAGGUGACCCUCCGGCCGUUCGACCUCGCCGACGCCAUGACGGCGUGGGCGGAACACCCCGUACUGGUACCGCCUACGGCCUCCAUGGCGUCGGGGGUCUACUUCUCCCCGCCCCGCGACGCCCUGCUCGCGUUCCUCCGGGGCACCGACCCUCCGCACACCUGGAUCCGCGCAGUCUGCCUCGGCGGCGCCAUCGUGGGCGCGGUGACCGUGUCGCGCACAGAGGACCGGUGCCGCGCGGAGGUCGGAACCGCGCUGGCGCGCGCGCACCGGGGCACGGGCGUGGCCGCGGCGGCCCUGAGGCGCGCGGCGACCGCGGCGUUGGGGGACCUGGAGGGCGUGGAGCGCGUGGAGGCGCUGGUGGACGCGGACGACGCCGCGUCCCGGCGCGCGGUGGAGGACGCCGGGUUCCGCCGCGAGGCCGUGCUGCGGAGCCACCGCGACGCCAAGGACGUGGUCGUCUACAGCCUCAUCUCCACAGACGACGACCCACUCAUCGGCUUACGCAGUUCAUGACGUCGUUGGCUUGUUGCCUUGCCAUGCGAUGCUAAUAAAAUUGACUCACGCAUCAUCAACACGAUCAAAUGUUACCAAGAAAAGAAACCGAAUUACAUUGCUGUGUUUCACUCUCAGCCGCGGAUUACAAGAAGGUGGUGCUGCUACUGUUCUGUCAGUCUCCAAGAGAUCGGAGCUUAUGUAUGAGAGAACACACGGGCUCGAUUAUUGAACUUUUUUGUUGAGUUGCGACUUCGACGGGAUCCCCAUGGAGACGGCGAGAGAGCACGGGCAUUGCAGGAUGCCGGCCGGCGAGCGAUCAGGCCUCCCAGCCGCGGAGGACGGUGGCGCGGGCGACGCGGUUGACGCCGAGGGUGAAGGCGCCCAUGCGGAGGUCGCAGUGGUGGGAGCGGCACAUCUCCUUGGUGUCCCGGAAGGCGCGGGUCAUGUACGUCUUGAGCUCCCGGUUCACCUUCUCCUCGUCCCACAUGAACCCCUGGAUGUUCUGCACCCACUCGAAGUAGCUCACCGUCACCCCGCCGGAGUUGGCCAGGAUGUCCGGCAGGAUCAGCACCCCCUUCUUCGCCAGAAUCUGCACCACGAACAUGUGCAUUUCUCCACUGUCAGUCAGUGUGUGAACUGAAUUAUGUCAACAAAUGCGAGCUUUGUUUUGUGGCAAAAUUUUGGGUGUUCUUGCCUCGUCGGCCUCGGGGUCUGUCGGGUGGUUCGCAGCCUCGAUGAUGUACUUUGCUUUGAUGGCAUCAGCAUUGUCCCUAGGAGAAGAAGAAAAUCAUGGUCAAGAACAGCCUUUUUGUUAACAAAAAUGUUUUCAGAUACUGAAAAAAAUAACAGCCAGGAGGAUACUAGUAUAACUGAACUUCGGAGGAGUAAUCUGAUAGAAGGUAGGAUGAAGUGAGCUGGGACGAGGAGAAAGGAGAAGAUUACUUGUUUAUGACUCCUCCCAGUGCUGCCGGGAUGAGGACGUCGCACUCUUCCGUGAGCAGCGAGGUUGGGUCGACGGCGUCUCCUCCGUCAAAGCCCUUGAUCCCGCGGUUCUCCGCCGAGUGCUUCAUCAGCUUGGCUAUGUCAAUGCCAUUGGAGUUCUUGACGGCCCCUGUGACAUCGCUGAUGGCGAUCACCUUGCCUCCAGCUUCAGUGAUCAGUUGAGCAGCCCAGGAGCCAACAUUACCAAACCCCUGAAAAAGGCAAGCGGCCAAUAAUUGCUUAUCUCUGCAAAAUGUAGGUGAAGAAACAUAGUUCUGAUCUUACUUUCUUUUUAGUAAGAAAAGUUCUGGUCUUACUCCCUUUUGUAACCAUAAAGUACAAAAGUGCGUAUUGUGCGAUCCACUGACGGCCACUUUUUAACUAGUACAUAUUUCUUAAAUCUAUGUUUGUAAUAAUAGAUUGAGGCUUCAUGACUCACACCACACUGAAUCCUCAGUUCAAUUACUUUUCAUCAUUUUAAAUUCAAAGAGCUUAACUCAUUAGCCUACACAUUAUUUAAUUACCUGGAUUACAAAACGCUGGCCUGCAAUGCCUUUGCCAUGCUCUGCAAGUAGGGCUUCAGUGGCAAACAGAACUCCCCUUCCAGUAGCUGCAUCUCUUCCCAGUGAUCCUCCAAGGUCCUGCGUUGAGCAAAAAAGUUCAGGAACAUGCGAAGAGGGAUAACUAGAAACCAGAUUUCUCUGGACAUUCAAAUCCUGGUGCUCCCACUUUUCAUCUGCAAACAACAUUUCCGUUGCACAUUACAUGAUAGAGUUUCAGGAUGAAUACUUACCACAGGCUUUCCUGUCACCACAGCAGGUGAGUAGCCAUGGAACUUUGAGUACUCAUCCAGUAUCCAUGCCAUUGUCUGAAAGCCAUGAAUGAAACAAGCAAAAGAAUCCACAUCAGAAUACAGAUGAAUAAUUCUCACAACACUCUGCAGAGAAAUAAUAAAUAUGCAAUGGACAAUAAAUACCUGUGCGUUGGUGCCCAUAUCGGGAGCUGGAACAUCGGUGUGGAUGCCAAUUAAGUCGUGAAUUUUCUGGGUGAAAACUCGGGUAAGCCGCUCGAGCUCCGAUAUGCUCAGGUCUCCAGGACUGCAUCCGAUGCCACCUUUAGCGCCUCCAUACGGAAUAUUGGCCACGGCUGUUUUCCAUGUCAUCAGUUGCGCCAAGGCAUUGACCUCGUCAGGAUCAACCUGAAUUUUUAUCAUAGCUUGUCAGUGCAAGAACUUACUACGAUCAUGGUUGCCAGUGUCUUGAACUUGCAUGCACAUGAUCGAAUUUUAUGGAAACCAAGUCAGAAUGUGAUCCAGUGUAGUAGCUUUAGUGAGAUGUGACUAAUUUCCAAAAUAGCUUUGUUCUGCUUUACUGCAAGUAGACAUUGCAAUUGCAUAGCUAGGUAUGGGCUGAACAAUAAGUCAUUCAACUAUCUGACAGGUUCCUGAAGGAGAUCGAAUUUAUGCUGAAGGACCAUUUCAAGUCGGCGACAGUGCGGCAAGAAUCAAGUGCUUAAUGGCUGGUUGUGUCAUGAUGAACAGAAGAACCCAGGAAUAUAUAUACUUAUGUGUGCUCAGUUGCUCACCUCAUGGUGGUAUCUGAUUCCACCCUUCAUAGGGCCCCUGGCAUUGUCAUGCUGCACCCUAAACCCAACAUAGGAUGCUAAUGUCCCAUCAUCUUUCGGAAUUGUGCACUCAACCUGCAACCACAAGCUUCAUUGUUAUACUGAAUAAUGGAACAAACAGUUCACCUCACAUAGACAGGACACAUGCUCAUAAAUUAGAAGGGUCCUGGACACAGUUUAACCUUACAGAGUAAGUGGCCAAGAGGCCAGUUCAACAACUUUUUUGCCAUAUUCAGCAGGAAAAACAGAAUAAAUUAACAUGGAUACGGGCUACGGCAAGCAAGAGAGUGUGAAAGAAAAUCAAGUGAAGUCUCUCGCAAAAAAAAAAAAAAUCAAGUGAAGUAGUAGGUUGGAAAAUGUCAAAUCCGAAGAUAAUCUGGUAGCCUAACCAGAAACUCAUAAAUUUACAGACCAGAUAAGAAAUAAUCGCAGGUCAACUACCAUAAGUCCCCAAGGACCAAGGUGAUACUACUUCUCAAUAACCACUGAACUCCAUAGAACAAAGAGCGUAAAUCGCUAUCCAGAUUCACUCAUUCACAGCAAAAUAUGUAUAAUCCGGGAUCAAGGAAUAAUCACCUUGAUCUCCCUGAAGGGGAUGAGCAGGCUCUUCUCGAGCUUGGAGUCGAGGCCCAGCAGCUUGGCCGCCUGCUUGAAGUUCCGGCUGGUGGCCGCCAAUGCGUUCAUCCUGCUCGACGAAAUUCCCCCUCCGGAGCCGCCGCGCCUGAAAAAGAGAUCGAGAACCCAACAUCAUCAGUAAAAUCCGAGAAACCAAAUCACACGAGACAAAAAGAUUAAACUCUGCGCGAGGAACCAGAGGAUAAUCUGCUUUUAUAUUACCGACGAGCAGAGUAGCGGCGAAGUGUUGUUAGUGGCGAGAGCAGGGGGGAGGCAGCGGCACAAAGACUAUGGAGGAGUUUCAGGUAGGCCGUAUGCAUAUGUAGGCACACUGAACCCCUCGGUGGAUUUGGGUUCCGUUCAAAAAGCAGAGGAGAUUUUUUUUUUCUUUUUAAUUUUAAUUUGUUUUUGUUUUUUUUGUCUCUACCAGGAUAAGAACAAGAUCUGGUUCUCGGCCUGCCUGCAAUUAAUUUCCCUGGAAACCCGAGCCCUGUCUGUAAUCAAUACCGUAAUUAACUAUUCCUAGCCUACUAGUACCAGAUUGAAGAGCGUCAAUCUAUGCCAUGGAAUCGACCAUCUACACUUUUAUUUAGUUUAGAGGUGCUAUCUAUACGUGCUAGUAGGAGCUUACUAACAUCUACAGUACAAAAAUAACACUGUUCUAGGGCCAACAUCUGAAUGAAGAUUCAGACUGCCGACAGCUGCGCUUGUUUUGCUGAGAAAAUGCCCAGAAUUUGAGCCGCAAGCCAGUGGAAGGGGUGUUCAAGGAAGCCUCUGCAUGUGGCAAUUUCAGAUUGCUCAAAUCGGUUGUAUGUAUGCACUGUACUGAGGUGUGCAUGUACGGGCUUGUACAGCUUGCGCCAGGCAAACUGCUGAUACGCUGACGGUGCUGAGCAUCCAUGCACGUGUAACAUGUGAUCCCUGACACUUCAUGCUUACAAUACAUGUCUGUCAAACAGUCAAGUAUUCCCUCCGUAAACUAAUAUAAGAGUAUUUAGAUCACUAUUUUAGUGAUCUAAACGCUCUUAUAUUAGUUUACAGAAGGAGUACGUACUAAAUAUAAGGCUUCUUAGAGAUUUUAUAAUAGGGACUAUAUACAGAUGUAUAUAGACAUGUUUUGGAGUGUAGAUUCACUCAUUUUACUCAGUAUGUAGUCUGUACCAAAAUCUCUAAAAAGCUUAUAUUUAGAAAUGGAGGGAGUAGUACUUAAUUACAGCUACAGUUAGAGCUCAACAACUUGGUCUAGCAGUUGAGUGAUACUACUACUGUAGAAAUCAGUUGUCUGUACUUUGGCCGCCUGUAAGAGAUGGAAAUUUCAGAAGCAACUUGGCGAAAAAGCACAUGGCUGACUCAGCUGCGAUGCUCCGUGGAAUUAUUUGGCUAACCAUGCAGUCUUGCACUGUUUUGCAUAGCGCAAUCUAAAUAAUUGGACACAAAGACACGUGUAUCCCAUGGGUCAGGGGGUUGUUGGCAAACUCGGAUUAAGGCUAGCUGAUGGUCUGCCUAGGAUGUGUGAAGCAUAUGCCAUAUGCCGUAUGUUAUUUAUUUAUUUGAUUGACAACACAUAUGCCAUAUUUUGUUUGUGUCAUAUGGUGACAAGAAAUAUAUCAUAUGUCAUGGACAGGGCUGGUAUGAUAAUUAAACGAACCUAUUAGUAUGGCUAAUGCCAACUUUGGCUCAAGAUAAGAGGGCAUAAGUUCCAGGAAGAUGCAUUCGCCGAAAAGUAGGGGCAGAUUGGGGGAGCAGGACAAUCCCAGAACGGGCAGCAAAAUCAUGUGGAGAAGAAGAAGAAGCAAUAGGGAUCGAAAAGUGGUUUAGCUGCUUUUAGAUGCAUGGAUUCCAGAUUAUGCAAGGCCUGCAUUAUUUGUCCUGUUUUAUGCUAUCUCUUUUUUAAUGCCCCAAAAUGAAUGACAAAACAAUCGCCCCACUAUCAGUGCAGAUAAUGAUAAUUAAGGUGAUGCUUUCAAAUCAGAGGAUGAUGAAGGCAAAUAUUCUCAAAUCAGAGGAUAAUGAAGGCAAAUAUUCUCAUAAUCAGAUCCCGGAUUAGGUAGCCGUAGAUGAACAAGCCCAAUCAAAGCUGCAUAAUACUAGUACUAGUACAGAGUUCAGAGCUUGGAUAAACCAUCAGUAACUCAUUGAUCUUUCUCUGGCCAUGUGAUCACUGCUAACACUAGCACACUACCAUGUAAAGGAAACACAAAGGGAGAGAGGGUAUUACUUUCUUGCAGCACCUGAUCAGGAUGAGUGAAUCCUAGCGGCUGAGGGGUUUCACCCGUGCUGCCCGCUCUGUUGUGGCAUUCAGGCAGAGGGUUACAAGGGGUUUUAUAGGGAGAAACCGGCUGGGAAUGAUACACGGAAUUAGUUCGGAGAUAUGGGGGAAUAAACGAGGAUCGUAUAUUUCUCCAAGGACUUUGGACGAUUCCAUGUGCUUGGGUUGAGUUGGCCGGGUUGCAUUGCAUCGAAUUCCAUUUCAUUGCUAUUCGAGGGCCAAAUGGGCAGAGGGUCCACGCCCCGAAUUCUCAGUCUAGUCAGAAUGGAGCUAUAGAGAUUAUGUUCGCAAACUGGUAACUAUGCUCGGUUGGUUAGGUAUCCUGUGCUAGAAUACACCCAUCUGGAUUUAAGUCAUAUACUUGCACUCUCAGACGAGUGCUCGUGUUUUUCUGAAUUUAUUCCACAAUUUUUUUCGCUAUUUUCUAGUGGAAGACGUCUUGCGCCUUGACUAUGAGGUGCCUAUGAUGAGAUUUACCGGUUUGGUCUCUUGGAGAAGAGUGCUCGUAUUUUCAUGAAUUUAUUUUGUAAUUUUCGGCGCUAUUCCUUAGUGGGAUACGUUGUGCACCUCGAGUACGAGGUGCCUAUGAUGAGAUUUGCCGACUCAGACAUGCUUGUAGGGUCAAAGUGUGUGCGCAUGCCUUUUUGGGAGUGCACUUGUGUGUGAGCAUUUGUAUUUCCAUAGAAAGACUGUGUGUGUGAAAGAGAGAGAGAAUAUGUAGUAAGUUCUUCGGAAAUAAGCGUAUUUCAGACGCACCUCAUCCACCUUGCCUUCACAAUAAUGCGUCAAGCGAUGAUUAUGACAAAUCUGGUCCAGAAGAUAUCCUCAGGGAGAGAGAGCAAAUCAUCAAAUGCAGAGCAACCGAAAGCUCCAUGUCAUGAAUUAUGACGAGAGACGCAUCCUCUUGCAUCACCGGUGGAAAACCGCGGAAUAUGGAACCAAUCGCAGGAUGCGCCGCGCAAAUUGGCGCAAUUGGAGUCCAGCGACAUGGCCACCGCCUCUUCCCAAUUGCUUUAGAAUUCUUUCCUCGUAGAUGGAUGGAUGGAUGACUUGUGUUUGUUUCGUGGACAAUGCAUAGAUUACUACUAGACCUUUACUGCCGUGUCAUGGAUGUAGCAUCAUGCUGCAUUAGGCCAAAAAAGCACGCCCAAAAGGGAGGUUCUCUCAGCAGAAAAGUGUAUGUGUUUCGUGUGUGGAGAUUCCAGCCUUUGUAUGCACCAACUUGUGAUGAGUCUUCAGUGUCACUCAUAAGUCUCCUUUCAGGGUUCAUGUUAUUUUUUCCAAGAAUAUUUUAAAAGCUUUGUUUUGGGGAGUGCUAACUGGGAAGGAAGCUAUCUAGGGAUUUCUGGAUUUCAAAGGAAUUUGAGAGAACAGUAAAAUUCCUUGUACAUGUUGCAAGAAAAGGAAUGAUGAUUUCUUUGGAAGAGGAGAAUUUCGGAGAUCGUUUCGUUUCCCGUAGGAAGAGGAAAUGUUCCCACGUGUCAACCGGGGAUUAAAUCGAGAUUCAAAUUAGUUUCAACAUCAUUAUAGAAAGAUAUUUUCAUAUUGGAGACUGAUACUUUUAAACUUUAAUAUAGCUGUGUGCAUCGUAAUGAUGCAGAGGCGGGGUGAUCCUUCUUUUUCUAAAGACAUUUCAGAGAAAGAAUAUUUAAAUGUUGGGUUUGUCUAGGACACAUCUAGAUGUGUCAUAGUUAUUGCACAUCUAAGUGACACAAUCAAGUAUGGAAAGAAAAAAGAAAAGAUAAAAAUAAAUACCCACACGAAUCUCCGUGUAAGAUCAAUGACGUAAGACUUAGAUGUGCAAUACUUAUGGUACAUCUAGAUGUGCUUUAGCAAAACUGUUAAAUGUUAUAUGGAUUUUUUUUUGAGAAAUAUCAUGUGGCUGUUUUUCCCUGUGCGAAUUACUGCAAAUUCCUCAUGUAACAUCUUUUGGGAUUAACUACUUUGUUUGCAGUUAUUUACAUAAAACUGCACCUGUUAUUCUUGUGCAGUUCAUUGAUUUUCAUUUUUCUGAGACCCAGAGAAGGCCUGAACUUCAUGCACAAUAGGUGGAUGGACUUGCGUGCUGGAGUCAAUGCCUACCAUUCGGUGUAAAGGGAAAAGGCAGACAGUCAUUUCCCAAUCUGAAUGUUGAUUAGGACUACCACUUACAAGAAAAUAAAUAAAUCCUGACCAUAGCACCGUUCUGUUAGAUCUAUUUUCGAGUCAUCGUGUUAGUGGUGCUAAUUUUAAUUUAAAACUUAAGACAGCCCACUUGAGCUACAGCAAAGAGGCCGAAAUGAUAGUCAAAGUUGAAGAAGAGAAUGUGACACCUCGAGUUUGCAAGAGCGCGUGACCUCUCGAGUACGCAAUAAGCACAAAGAUGAAGAUGUUAAGACAGUGGGUUGGUUUGAGUUAGGGCAUCUCCAACGCUAUUCGCUAAAGCCAACACACUAUUCAUCCGGGGUCCAUUCGUGGAUCACAUACGGAUGGAUCCACGGACAGGACACGGGAGCCGGUCAUUCAACUUUGUCCCUCAAAUAAGCAUCAGAUCCGAAUAGCAGAAUUGGGCCAAGCGGACCUGGACGACAAAGCACAUGGAUCGUGAUGACAUAUGGUCCAACUGACAGUGGGUCAAGCAGACCUCUACAUGCUGCCUGGACAACCGUAAAUCAAUUAUUUGUUUGCUGCCAUGAUACUAGAAUUCAGACAUCUAGAUUGGUUUGUGGACAUAUACGGGUCCCCAUUUGAUGACAAAAGUGAACAAAAUUGGUCCAGACACCAUAAUCUGGAUAUUUACGAGAGUUUUGAGGGCACAUGCUUUCGAGAUGCCCUUAGCCCUAAGGGUUCUCAAAAGAAUCGGGAAACCAAACACACUACGUUUCCUGACUGAUAUGCACACAACACUUGAAUCAAACGGGGUAGGAGUGUUGGCCAUUGUGUGGUGGCCGCAGCAUGCCGACUAUAAAUCCGCAGUAGUAUUUUCGCAUAGAUAGCAAGAUUAUAAAAUAAAGUAGAAUAGAAACAGACGCAAACGGAUCUUUGCUUCCGAACAAAACCCUGCCAUCAAAUAGGUUGUCCCAGGAGCACCAUAUUCUAGGAGCCCAAGUUAUGCCAAAUGUUGCGCUCAGGCAUUACUCAAUAGAGGUGCAAGGCAUGCCCAGACAACCACAAUAUGAACAAAUUGUUGUGAUUUAUGUUCAUCAUGGAGCGAACUAAUUGAAUUGUAAAUUCAAAACGUAUUUAGUCAAGUGUAAAAACGAUGCAGCCAGGCCAUGUUCCAGGAAUUAUCCACUAUCUUACGUUCUACAGGUUCUUCAGUCUGUAGGCUCCGGAAGUCAGCACUUUGUGGAUGGCAAAGGGAUCUUCCCAAGGGUGAUGAGAGCUUGUGCAUCCUCUCCUUCUGAAUCAGGCAGAGCACAAGGUCGCCGACCUAGUGCUCGUAUAUUUUACUGGUAGAUGGGAUGAGAGAUACAAAGAAACAACUGUGUGUUUCGCAAUACUUCUAGUUGGAUGAAUGCUACGGACCUAGUCACAAAGAUCUUUGAGGAGCUACAGUUGUGGACCCUAGCAGGAAGAAGAGGAGUCAACGUGUGGUGUGAGUAGUAGCGUGAGGUAGUAGGAGUAGGAGUAGAGUGUCAUUUUGCCUUAGCCGAUCUGUGGCUUUGAGGCCUCAAGUUCUUGUAAAUACUCUUUCCAUCUUCUAUAAAGGUACGGUACGUAUUUUGCAUACUCUAAAAAAAAGGCAUCCUUUUUAGAGAAUUUAAUCUGCUCUAAAACAGAGUAUACGCCUGUGACUGUGAGCCCAGUUGAGCUUUUGAGCUUUUUUUUACUGAAGGCUGAAAUCUUCAGGAGUACCAAGGGGCAUUAGAGAACGGAGGGCACCUAGAUUGAUCUGAAAGACUAGUUUGAAGCUGCCCAUUAGUCUCUUCUCACAAAACUGUUCAUGACAAUUCAAUGUGACAUAUCAACAGAGUCCAGGUCCAAGCAAUCAAUGUGUUUGUUUAGCAACCAAUACAUUGCAUCACCGGCCAAGAUCUUCUAUACACUACAAAAAGGUGCUACUACCAGGAAAAGAACAGUGCACCGAGACAAACCACAUAGUAGAUACUAAUCAUCCACAUACAUAUUAAUCACCAGCCAGGUCCAAUGGAAGUAAUCUGUGUCAGAUUCCAAGUAUUCUCAGCACCCUUCAAAGGAAGUAAGACAGGGAUAACUGUAUCUUUACUUGUGAUCUCAUCAUCCACAUACAUACUAAUCAGUUUGAGUUUCAAAAAAAGUAAAAUUUGUCAAACCUAUCAGAUUCAUAUAUCAAACAAGAAAGAACUGCCAUGGUCGCCAAGAAUUAGAUCUAUAAAACAGAAAGAAAAAAUAACAUAAAGGACACGUUUCCAGGAUAUAAGCUGGCACAAAGAACGCCACCAAUCAGGACAUACCACACGUAAGAGAAUAGCUGUAGCGUCCGAGACUAAUUACUGCGAGGAACACAAGUCAUCCUCAGGAAUUGGUAACGAACGCGCAUCAAACCAAGAAACAAACAGUAAGAAACAUACAGACUACUCCACAGAUAAAUCAUCAAUUUGGGGGAGCUCAGACAGCCAAGGGGUCGUCCGCAGAUGCCACUGAAGAGGAGGCAUCAGAAACUCUAGUCCACAAAUUUGUCAUCACCACUACAACAUCAUGGACCAUCAAAACUAAAAAUAAGAAACAAACCAAAUCGAGAUUCAUCAAGAAUCAAAAGAGCGNNNNNNNNNNNNNNNNNNNNNNNNNNNNNNNNNNNNNNNNNNNNNNNNNNNNNNNNNNNNNNNNNNNNNNNNNNNNNNNNNNNNNNNNNNNNNNNNNNNNNNNNNNNNNNNNNNNNNNNNNNNNNNNNNNNNNNNNNNNNNNNNNNNNNNNNNNNNNNNNNNNNNNNNNNNNNNNNNNNNNNNNNNNNNNNNNNNNNNNNNNNNNNNNNNNNNNNNNNNNNNNNNNNNNNNNNNNNNNNNNNNNNNNNNNNNNNNNNNNNNNNNNNNNNNNNNNNNNNNNNNNNNNNNNNNNNNNNNNNNNNNNNNNNNNNNNNNNNNNNNNNNNNNNNNNNNNNNNNNNNNNNNNNNNNNNNNNNNNNNNNNNNNNNNNNNNNNNNNNNNNNNNNNNNNNNNNNNNNNNNNNNNNNNNNNNNNNNNNNNUUGCUGUUUGGAAAAGAAAAAAAUGACAUCACAUUGCUGUUUGGAAUUUGUAGGCGGCAUUGGUGGGGAUUUAUAUAAAAAAAUUGAAGGUGGGGAUUUUUCUAGGGUUUUCCUCUUCUCUUUGCGGGUGCAGAUGGGGCAGGCCGACGCAUCCACCUGCGUGAGAGGCAGACAAGGCCACAAGUAGACGCACUUUAUUUCCUAUUUGCCACCUUUAGCGGCGCAUCCGUAGGGAGCUAUAUCUCGCUUAUAGUGAGAUUUUUUAGCAAAGGUAGCAGGCCUUAUUGAACAUCAAGAAUGUUACAGGUAUUAUGAGCGUAUCAUGCAGAUUGCCUAACCAAAUAUGCCUUCCCUGAUACCCAAAAAGAUGAGGAGAGUUCUGUUAAAAGCUAUGCAAUGAUUAACAGAGUUUCUGCUGCAACAUCUACGCCAGCGCCAAUGCUCUGAAUCUGAAAGUUCUGUUUAAUGAUCGCUUCAUCCACCAAAUGAAUGUAGGAGUAGGCAACAAAUUCAGAAGCAAAACCAAAACCUCAAGAAAGAAAAACAUAGCCUAGGGGAAGAUAUGCACAUUUCUUACAUUAAUAAAUGUGCCAGAAGACAGGUAACACGACGCAGUUUGGUAAUGCGUCGUGCUGUUUAAUGCUGGCCAGUGUUUCCGAUUAAUCUAUGCUUCCCUCUACAGGAUGACCAAACUGUUAACAGGAACAAACACAUAACAUUUUCCAUUGAAGCAUUGUUUUUGGGCAGGGAUAAGAUAUAACUAAGUAUUUCCUCAGUUCAGGUCUCCAAAUUGCUUCCACACCACGCCAUGAGGUAGCGCAUCAGAAGAACGAAAGUAUUUAGUUUGAUCAUCAUUGGACAGUUUUCAACAUCAGAAAACAUGAGAUAAACAACAAAAACCAUUAUUUGGGGCGGGAAGAAGAUAAAAUGAAGUACUUCCUCAGUUCAGGUCUGAAAAUUGCUUCCGCACUGUACCAUGAGAUAGCACAUCAGAAGAACGAAAGUAAUUGGUUUCAUCAUCAGACAGUUUUCAACAUCAGAAAACACAAGAUAGACAACAAAAAACCAUUGAUUUGGGGCAGGAAGAAUUUAAAUUUAAGUAUUUCCCCAAUUCAGGUCUCCAAAUUGCUUCCGCACCGCGUCAUGAGAUAGCGCAUCAGAAGAGCGAAAGUAUUUAGUUUGAUCAUCAUCAGACAGUUUUCAACAUCAGAAAAAAUCAGAUAAACAACAAAAACCAUUGUUUUGGGCCGGGAAGAAGAUAGAAUUAAGUGUUUCCUCAGUUCAUAUCUCCAAAUUGCUUCCACACUGUGCCAUGACAAUAAUAAGAAGUAACUUUCUGAGGGCACCCUCAGAACAUUUGCAUAAUUGUAUCACAGUAUUUUUCUUAGGAUAUUUGUCCAGCCAUCAGGAGGCAAAAACAGGAACAAAAUGGCAACUAGAAAACAAAUAAAUAACAAUAUGAGGUAUGUCAUUGCUUCUGAUCGCUCUAGGUGAUAAUAUAUAUCUCAUCAACACAUGAAUCAGACAACUAUAUUUUACGAACACAGGUGAGCACCACUCACCAGGAUCCAAGAACAACAAUCUGCGGUCCAGAAACAGACUAGGAAAGAAGAAUCAAACUGCAGUAUCCUCAGUUCAGGUCACCAACUCUUCCAUAUUCAAGAUUUUCGGAACAAGGAACGUACCAUUGUGAUUGAUGGUUGAGCUGUCAGACAAUGCUUUCUAGGCAAACGCACUCAAUCAAGCAGAAGUGAAGAAAGAGGAUAAAGGAAUAAUAGAAGAUCAAAUCAGUAUCCCUCAGGUAAUAUGCUUAUGUUUUUCAUCAACAGAGAAAACUCAGGUCUCAAAGAUGUGCCAUCACUGGACUUACAGAACUGAACCGAAUAGAAAAGGAUAAAUUAAAAUCAGGCAAUUUUGGAGAAUGUUAUUCGCUGGGGAAGCAACUAUCCCCAAAAGUCUAAAACCCAAAAUGGGGCGUGGCCAAGUGGUAAGGCAGCUGGUUUUGGUCCCGUUACUCGGAGGUUGGAAUCCUUCCAUCCCAGAUUGUUUCUGAUGAAACAAACAGUGAAAUCAUACUUGUAGCUAAGAGAACAAUGCUUUCAUCUGUUAAAACCUCAGAAAACUGCAUAAAUUUUCGCCACUUAAAAAUCUGACAGUAAUUCCAACAUGUAGCUAAUCAUCAUGGGCAUAACCCUGUACUUAUCCAGUUGGGCUUCUCUUGGCUGAAGGCUGAAAUCUUCACUUAACUAGGAGUACCGAGGGCAUUGGAGAACUGAAGGCAACUAGACUGAUCCGAAAGACUAGGUCAAAGCUGCUCAUCAGUCUCCUCUCACAAAACUGUUCGUGACAAUUCAAUGUGUUUGUUCAGCAAAAAAUGCAUUGCAUCACCGGCCAAAAUCUUCUACACAGGUACUACUAGAAAAAUAACAGUGCACAGAGAUUCAAAGUAUUCUCAGCAUAUGUACAUACUAGGAGUAAUCUGUGUCAGAUUCAAAGUAUUCUCAGCACCCUUUCGAGGAAGUAAGACAGGGAUAACUGCAUUUUUUACUUGUGAUUGAUGGCAGAUUGUAUGACGAGUCAGAAGUAGCUGGUUGAAGAUCUCAUGUUUAUUACAAAUCAAUGGGAAUCCGAAUGAUUUUCUUCUUCAUACUCGCAAUCCAAGCCAAAUCAUGCUGCACAAGAUGAUGGAAGUAAUCGUGUCAGAUUAAAAGUACCUAAAAUCUUAAAAGUGCACGCGCACUGUUUCGCGACACCGAGCGGCGGCGCUACGCGACAGCGGACAGCGACCUCACACGCUCAGUCCAUCUCUCCACUAAAAGAAAAAAGGAAAAUCUUCUCCACUCCCGAGCAGCACGACCUUCUUCCUCCACUAACCACCGCCGCUGUGCACCCCGCCUCCUCCGGUCCUCCCUCGCGCCGCCUCCUGACAACGCCAACUCGCCGUCGCGAUUGCCCAUCGCCACCCCAGCAGGCCUCGCAUCUUUCCCUCCAGGGCGCCACCAUGAGCCGCCGCAGGAAGCAAUCCCCAACCUCCGGCGCCGCCGCGACUCAUCUUCUGCGAUGGGCACACGCCGCUCCGCGGCUGCGCACAGCUGUGAAUCCUCGCACUUAGCCGUGAGGGCUCCAUCGCCUACUCAAGUGCCCAUCACAUGCAGGUAGUAUUCCCCUUCNNNNNNNNNNNNNNNNNNNNNNNNNNNNNNNNNNNNNNNNNNNNNNNNNNNNNNNNNNNNNNNNNNNNNNNNNNNNNNNNNNNNNNNNNNNNNNNNNNNNNNNNNNNNNNNNNNNNNNNNNNNNNNNNNNNNNNNNNNNNNNNNNNNNNNNNNNNNNNNNNNNNNNNNNNNNNNNNNNNNNNNNNNNNNNNNNNNNNNNNNNNNNNNNNNNNNNNNNNNNNNNNNNNNNNNNNNNNNNNNNNNNNNNNNNNNNNNNNNNNNNNNNNNNNNNNNNNNNNNNNNNNNNNNNNNNNNNNNNNGAGGAUUCAGCCGUGAACUUGUUUGGAUUUAUAGGAAUGAAUAUUGUUGGAUCUAAAUCUGGUUAAUACUCUGUCAUUUUCCUACUUCAUAAAUUUACUUUGGAAAGUUCAUAUAUUUAGUAGUCUGGACACGGGAAAUUUAAUUGCAAUGUUGAUUCAACUUGGGUUUUCUAUGGCAGCUGGAGUAGAAAAUACAAAUUUGUAGUGUAACAACUAUAGUCUAAUCUGCCGGAUAUUGAUGGGAGCAAUCAGAUUUUUGAUGUCUGUGCAGUUCAUCUACAUGUUAUUGACAAUUUUUAUUCAGACAUCUAAUUCACCUCCACAUAUGCUUGUCUAGUCUGCUACCUUACCCAAAUAGUACUAGUACUGAAAUAUUAACAACAUUUUCAUUCUCACAUAUUGUUAACUCAACCUCUUCUAGGUAUUUUUUCAGGAAAUGCAGUCAAAUUCAUGUACAGAUGCAUCACUUUUGUGAUCCUACUAGUCAAUCUCCGGUAUGAUGCUUGGAACGUUGAUGAUUGGAGUGUUGAUCUAUACAGGAGUUUCGGCAUCUUUCUCAAGGAGCUACGUCGACUAGGAUGAGUGGUGGGUUUGUACGGCGGUUAGGAUUAUAGUGGUGGGUUUGAGUUGGAUUUUCACGGUGAGCUGUUCAGAUUUUGUCACUACUGGUAUGGUUCAUGAUCCUUAUUUGAUCCAUCUAUUCUUGCCUAGACUGCAAUUGUCUCGUUAAACAUGAUACUCUCUGUAGAGCUUCAUUACAUUAUUGACCUCUUUUUCUCGUAAAUGCAUCCGUGUGGUUUCUUUGUUUUCUCAUAAGUCGCAUGCAUAUAAGUAACCAGUUGGCUAGUUUGUUGUAAUAGUUGCACAUGAACGCAAAUGUAGUUGGAUGACACAUAUACAUGUCUCAGUUGGCUAGCCAACUUAUGAAGUUGCACAGUGAAGGCUAACCAGUUGCACAGUCGAUGGUAUUCUUCUGCAGCAGCCGCUGAGGUAACAUAAAAUUCCACCAGGGAUAUUUUUUACUCCACAUAUAGGCAACCAAGUGUAUUAAUUUUCAUACAUAGUUGCAGAAGGACUAAUUAAGCAUUGGCAUGCUGAACUUUCUCAGUUGCUCAACGUUGCAUCUUCAAGUUUUUUAGAAUUGUCCCAAGAGUAUGUAAUGACUUGGCAUCCUCAGACUUUCUAGUUGCAGAAUAGUAUCUAAUUAGUUGGCAACCUCAGUAAUUCUAGUUGCACAACAAUAUACAACUAGUUGACAUCCUCAGCUUCUCUAGUUGCACAAGAACUCAGAUUAGUCCCAUCUAAAAAAAUUGAGGAUUGCCCAACAGUAUCUAACGACUUGGCACCCUCAGGUUUUCUAGUUGCAGAAGAGUAUUUAUUUAGUUGGCACCCUCAGCAAUUCUAGUUGGACAACAGUAUCCAAGUAGUUGACAUCCUCAGCCUCUCUAGUUGCACAAGAAUUCAGAUUAAUCCCAUCUUAAAUUUUUUGAGGGAUUGCCCAACAGUAUCUAGUGACUUGGCACCCUCAAGUUUUCUAGUUGCAGAAGAGUAUCUAUUUAGUUGGCACCCUCUACGAUUCUAGUUGGACAACAUUAUCCAAGUAGUUGACAUCUUCAGCCUCUCUAGUUGCACAAGAAUUCAGAUUAAUCCCAUCUUAAUGUUAGGAUUAAUCUUGAUUAUGUAUCUGCGUUGUAUUUUCGUUUAGCAUGUAGUCUAGUGUAGGUUGAUGUUUGUCCCGUGAAGCUUCAGCUCAGCAUGCAGAGGAGGCGAGAUGUUGGGCUGCCGUGCGAUACGGCGAGCACGGCGAGAUGCCGAUGGCAGCGUGAGGCUGCAGUGCUACGCGAGGCAGCAUGGCCGUGUGAUGCGGCAAGUGCGUGAGAGGCUGGAGCGUGACGGGCUGCAUGAAGAGGUUGAACCGGGCGAUCCGGCAAGUCAUUAUCAGUUGUAUACAUGCUAGUUUGGUUCGGUCUAUGGCCGUUCAUGAGGCUGCCCAAGUACUGGCCGUGCAUGUAGUUCUGCAUGUUGAGGGGGUUAGAUGCAUAGUCGUUAGGAUCCUGCAGAGAUGCCUGGAGUAGGAUAAGGCCAGUUAGUGGGUGUGGUAGUGCAUGCAUGGAUUAGUUUGUUAAUGGCCGAGCAUGGCGGCCUGUUAGUUCGUGCGUGACUUAGUGGCCCGGCCAGGUUGUGCGUGAUGGCCAACAGUCUAUGUAUAUAUAUGUCACACUGAGCAAUGAGAAAAUAGAGGCCGUGAGGGCUCAAGAGAAAAGAUGUAGCACUUGUGGUUGCCAAGAAAGAGUACCUCUCGGCAAAGUUAGUUGUUUUUCUUCCUUGUUAUACAUGCGUGUGUGUGCAGUUUCACCAUGUGUGUGUGUGUUCUUGAGAGAAACCAUAGAAGAGAAGAAGAGAGGAACCCAAAUAGAGUUGUGGGAGGCAGCUCGAGGUAGAAGAAAAGCAGCGCUGCCAGAGGCGGCGCCAACACUUGAAAAAUUUGAGGAUUGCCCAAUAGUAUCUAAUGAUUGGCACCCUCAGGCUUUCUAGUUGCAGAAGAGUAUCUAUUUAGUUGGCACCCUCUGCAAUUCUAGUUGGACAACAUUAUCCAAGUAGUUGACAUCCUCAGCCUCUCUAAUUGCACAAAAAUAUCUCAUUAGUUGACAUCAUCAGCAUUUCUAGUCGCACAAGAAUAUCUCAUUAGUUAUCAUCACAAGUAUUUCUAGUUGCAGAACAAACAGGAUAUCAAGUUACCAUCCUCAACUUUUUAAUCUAGUUUUCCAGAGAACAAAUAUUUGUAUGUAAUGAUAACUAAUCACCUCUACCUUUUUUUUGCAAACCCCAAGAUAUUGUUCAAGGAAAUGAGAGUAAUGAAGCAAAUAAUGUUGAACGACGGUCACAAGCUGGCUACCUGAUGGAGACUGCCUGGUACGCCUCUCUCCUCCCUCUUCUUUACCACUUCCGUUCUUGCGUUCAUUGCUUUGCCAUUAUAGCUCUGUUUUGGAUCCAGGCUAGGACCCUUUCUUUCGUUGAAAAGAAGGAGCCCUGUGGAGAAGGAAGUGUGGGCGAGGGGUGCAUGGAGGCUUCGGGAGUUAGUGGGCUAUCAUGUGAUACCGAUUGGCCUUUGUUUUCUGAUUCUUCAUGGAUUUUAGGGGUCGGAACAAAGUUUCCUUUAUGGAAACAGUGGGGACAAAAAGUUACCUUUUCCGGCCGCUCGCGAGCGCUACCAGGCCAACGGCCGCUAGCCAGACGCAUCCUUAAAAGUAUUCUCAGCACCCUUCCGAGGAAGUAAGACAGGAAUAACUGUAUUUUUACUUGUGAUCUCAUCAUCCACAUCCAUAUUUAUCAGUUCGAAAAAACAAUAAAAAUCAAAUGCUCGUACAAUCUAUCACGGCCGGCACAUUUAGAUCCAGAAAGACAAAGAAAAAAAAAUAGAGGACGGCAUGUGAAUGUAUGUGGCGUUUCCAGGAUAAGCUGGCACAGAGGACGCCACCAAUCAGGAUAUACCACACAUUAGAGAAUCGCAUGUAGCGUCCGAGACUAAUUACCACGAGGAACAAAAAUCAUCCUCAGGAAUUGGUAAUGAAUGCGCACCAAAAAAUGUUGUUUUGGGAGGGAAGAUAUAAUGAAGCAUUUCCUCAGUUCAGGUCUCCAAAUUGAUUCCGCACCACACCACAAAAUAGCACAUCAGAAGAACGGAAGUAUUUAAAUUGAUCAUCAUCGGACAGUUUUCAACGUCAGAAAACAUGAGAUAAACAACAAAAUCAAUUGUUUCAGGGCGGGAACAAGAACAAAAAUAUUUAGUUCGAUCAUCUUCAGACGGUUUUCAACAUCAUAUACAGUCAUCAGGAGCCCAAAACAAGGACAAAAUAACAAAAAAUAAACACAAACGAACAAUAUCAGGUAUAUCGUUGCUUCCCUCUAGGUGAUAAUAUCUCAUCAACACAUGAAUCAGAUCACUUUAUUUUACCAGCACAGGUGAUCACAAGGAUGCAUGAACAACAAUCUGCAAUCCACAAACAGACUAGGAAAGAAAAAUUGAACUGCGGUAUCCUCAGCUCUUCCAUACUCAAGAUUUCCAGUAGUUAAGUAGAAUGGAGAUUGAUUGUUGAACGGUAAGAAGCAAAUGCACCUCCAUCAAGCAAAAGAAUAGUCAAUCAAGAGUGAAGAAAGAGGAUCAAGGAAUAACAGAAGGUCGAAUCAGUAGACCUCAGGGAUUAUGCUUAUGAUUUUCAUCAAGGAAGAAAAGUCAGGUCUCAAAGAUGUGGCAUCACUGGACUCGGGAACUUAACUGAAUAAAAAAGGGCCAACUAAAAGUCAUAAACAUAUAAUGAUAAGCAGGAGCAAUUUUGGAGAAUGUUAUUCGCUGCCCCUCACAAUUAAAAGUAGGGGAAGCGACUCAUCCCCAUAAAGUCUGCCCCUGGAAAAAAUCAAGCCCCACAGAUACAUAAAACAAAAGGAUCAACUAAUAAAGGGGGUCUUCAACAUAAUUUGUCCUCAGAAUUGCAGAAUGACAGCAUGGACGCAUAGCAACCAAUCAGUCCCGAAAGAUGGUAUGAUUUAACAGGUUUUUCAUCACCGGAACCAUAAACAAGGUCUAUAUAAGUCAAACCUAAAUUAUUUUAGGGUUGGAAGUCAGAAUUGCAUAUUUGACAACAUGGCAAACAAGAGCGCACCAAUCAGACUCAACAUCGUGACAAUAAUAAUAAUGACGGAAAUGUUGUAUUCAUAAACAAAAAUGCAAAAAUCUAAGCCUUUCAUUAGUUAAGCAGAUAAGCAACGACACCUAAUUAGGCCAACCUAUGUUAACAGUUCAGUGAACGAAUUACACCAACAAACCUGGCAAUAGACCGGGCACACCCAAAAAAAAAACAGGAUUCAAUUAGCCAACAAACCUGUAAUGCACAUAAAUGCAUAAGAAUAGACGAGCUCUUGCCAACCAUUGAAAUGACUAAAGCCCAUGGCAAAACAAACUCUCAAAGAGUUCAAGAAGGAAUUCAAGAUACAAUAUAUUAAAGGUUCCAGAACAAAGACAUUAUCUAGGGCAAAACAUCAUCCAAGGUAAUCGUCUAAACAAGAACACUCCUUAAGAUUCUGGAAAUGGACCAACACAGUAGUAGAAAAGCUAUGGGGGAUCGUUGUGAAGCAGCUUAUCGCUUCUUGGAGACACCAACAGUCUUUCCUCUCCUGCCGGUAGUCUUGGUGUGCUGACCACGGACACGCACGCCCCAGUAGUGACGCAGACCACGAUGGUUCCUGGAAAAGAGGAGGGUUUCAAGCAUAAGUGAUUACUCACGCAUCUAUGCACUAGGACAAGGCUACUGCAACAGUUUAGUCUAAAGGAAUCAGGCAUCACCAUACAUCUCUUGGAAACAAAGCAUUGCUAUACAGAACUACUGGGUCACAUACAAGGUACACCAGAAGGAUACAGAUGAAUAUGUACAAGUAAUAGACAGGCUAGUCCUAACAGAUUGACCAAACUGAACUUUUGUAACCAAAACUGCUACUUGCCUUUAUAACUUGAGAGCAGGGCUUCUCGUUAAUAAGAGUAAAUACAGACAUAUGACAUUGUAUUUUUGCAGAAAAGAAACAUUAAUUCCGAUCUACACAAGCUAACGCUGGACUAGGUUAGGCCUAUUUCACAGGAUAAACCACUACAGAAUGAAGCAGAUGAAGUCAGCACAUGCUACCAGAAAAACACUAUGCACAUCAAGAACAACAGAAUAAACGCGUUUCAGGCAUUCUAAUGUCCGAAGAUCUGCUUAGAGAAACCCACUAUGCCAAUCCCAAGACUAGACUGUAAAGUACUGGAUGAGAUAUCAACUACUGCAGCUACUAAAGCAUGUGCAAGAUGUUAGUUAACAGCAUCAUAACCAGUUGAACCUAGCGCAUAAUCAUCGAUCAACCAGUAAACAGUAUGAAGCCAAAACAAACAAGAGGGGGAGGAGUUUAUACCUGAUCUUCUUGAGCCUCUCAAGGUCAUCCCUGAGCUUCAUGUCCACGGCGUUGGACACGACCUGGGAGAACCUGCCGUCCUUGUAGUCCUUCUUCCUGUUGAGGAACCAGUCCGGCACCUUGAACUGGCGCGGGUUGUGCACCACCGCCAUCAGGCGGUCCAUCUCCUCCGAGGAAAGCUCUCCGGCCCUGCACGCCCACCACAGAGCACAGCGCACGGCUCAGCACCACACCGACCGCGACGAGAUCUGGCGAGAAAGGGGGACGGACGGUGUUCCUCACCUCUUGUUCAUGUCGAUGUCGGCCUUCUUGCAGACGAUGUUGGAGAAGCGGCGGCCCACACCCUUGAUGGAGGUCAGCGCGAACAUGAUCUUCUGCUUACCGUCGACGUUGGUGUUGAGCACACGCAGGAUGUGCUGGAACUCCUCACCCGCGAUCAGCGACUGCGGCCAGAGAAGGAUCACGAACGUCAGCAUACGAGGCGGGAUCCGCGAGAGGAGAAGGAGGAGGGCGGAGAUGGGAGGGGGGAGACGCUUACCAUGGCUGCAGUCGGCGGCGGCGGCGGCGGCGGCGCUCGGGGGCAGGAGGGGAGGAGGAGGGCGUUCGCGUCUAAGGUUUUGGAGGAGGGGUCGUGGGGAUGAAUUAUAUACCCGGGGUGAAACCCUAGUGCUUCAUCGGACGGCUGUGAUCUGCGCGGGCUCUGUAAGUGGGCGGCUUUGUUGGGCUCUUUUCUCAACGGGCCUUUAUCUGGAGUUCCUUGGGCUUUGGUGGCCUCUUGCACCCGCCGCUGUAAUCCUGGAGGUCCCAGUCACUCUGAACCUUCUGGGGAGAGCAACUAGUUAACGAGCGUUUCUUCGGGAGUCUCGCAACGAUCAGUGCCACUUGGCGCGCUCUCAGCCAUUCGUCACGUGUCGUGUUCUGGACGCUCCCUCCGGAUUUAUUUUUUUAUUUUUUGCACGCGUUUUCGGCUUUUUAAACGGUUUUUUCUUCUUUUUUUUCGAGGUUUUGGUUUUCCGCCGGUCUUCCUUAGCUUUUUGACAAAAAAAAAAUUGUGCGAAAAAACGCGUUUUUUUUCUUUCGCGAAAAGUCACGGUUUUUCUCCCGCGAGAGGCACGGUUGUGCUUUAGCGAGAGUCAUGGCCGUGCCUUUUUUUUCGCGAGAGUCACGGUUUUACUUUCGCAAGAGGCACGGUUGUGCUUUCGCGAGAGUCACGGCCGUGCCUCUCGAAAAGGGAAAAACAAAACGCGUUUUCUGUUUUUUUUCUUUCGCGAGAGUCACGGUUUUGCUUCCGCGAGAGGCACGGUUGUGCUUUCACGAGAGUCACGGAAAAAAAUACGCGUUUUCUGUUUUCUUUCUUUCGCAAGAGUCGUGGUUUUGCUUUCGCCAGAGGCACGGUUGUGCUUUCGCGAGAGUCACAGGCGUGCCUCUUUCGGAAAGGAAAAAAAAAACGCGUUUUCUGUUUUUUUUCCUUCCACGAGAGUCACGGUUUUGCUUCCACGAGAGGUACGGUUGUAAUUUCGCGAGAGGCACGGGCGUGCCUCUUUCGGAAAGGGAAAAAACCGUGCUCCCGGUUUGGUUUUUUCGUCCGGGUUUUUCGUGAAAAAAAAGUUCGUCAAAAUCUAUCAACAUGGGAUCUAGUUUUGAAGAUCUCGACGCGAGGAAUUCAAUGGUGAAAACGGUUUGAGAUUUGGACGCACGGUUUAAGAGAUAAAACGUGUUGAAUAAACGGAUCUACGAAAAAGGGAAAACUCCCAGGUUGCGACAAGUGGCGCGCUGCAUGUGCGCCCACUUGUCGUGACCUGGGAAGGUGGAGUGUUCUUUGCAACGAGUACUUCUUAGUUAGUGAUUUCGACCUUCUGACUGAACCCCUUGACACAGCUGCAGUGCGUCAGAUUCUCAAAAAAAAGCUGCAGUGCGUCAGGGCAUUGAGGUUGCAGCUGUCGUAUGCCCCACAAAGCGCAUAAAACCUCGCACUGGAUCGGUGGCUGGGCCCAGACUAACAUCCACUGCUGCGAGGAAUCCAUCCAUGACAGAUGCUUGAUCUGGAGUAAAUAGCAUAAAACUACUAGUUUACAGGCUAUGGUUCCAAAAAACUACCACUUUUUAAUUUUUCUCAGAAAGCUACCGAACGCGCGGUCCGCUGUUUCAAAAAACCCAAACCUGCGGUGACUAGCGUUUUAACCGUUUUCCUGACGGACUGGGCCCAUCUGUCAGCCCACGUGGCCACGGGCGCUCACGGCGCGGCCGUUAACGGCCGUUAGCCGACCCGGGUCCGGUCGGAACCAAAGUGGGCGGUCGGCCACACACUCUCUCACUCCCCCUCCUCUCCCCCGCGGUGACCUAGGUGGGCGAUGGCGGCGGCGCAGCCAAAUGUCGUCGGCGGCGAGCUAUUGAGGCAAGGCGGCACCGGCCAGGAGGGCGGUGGACACUCAGAGGUGGACAAAUGGCUAGGCAGCUCGAGCUUCCCGGCGCAGCGGUCGCAGCAGCCAUCACCGCCCGCAGCUCAUGUGGAUCCGGCGAGCUCAGAUCCGAAAGUCCGCGCGGCUAGGGCAGUGGCGAAGCGCAUCCACACUGAUCCAGCAGGCGGCCACCAUUGGGCGUCGUCCUUUGGUGGAGUGAGGUAAGCACUGGUCCUUUAGUUAAAUUUCCGUGUGCUUUAGUUCAAAUUAGAACUAGGGUUAGUAUUUGUUUGUUCUUGGCAUGCUACUGUAUUUUAUUGGUUAAGUCAGUGUAGAAGAAAGUGCAUUUGGUUAGUUCAUUUGGUCAGUGCAUAGAUGUUCUUGAUAUCUGAAGAAAGUUCAGUAAUGUUCGGUGACUUAAAAAAUAAUUGUUUGUCAAUUUAAUCCUACAGCUUAGAUGAUGAGAUUUGGGACUUGAGGCUACAUUUUCAAGGAAUAGAUAAUAUGGAGAAAAAGUAUUCAGUUUCCUCAGAUAUCAGUUAUCUGACCAUAUUAGCAUUGGUUGAGUUGGAGGGCUAUGGCAUGGAUGCAUUUAUGACUUAUGUAAAGGAAGAGGGAAAGGGGCUGGAGGGUGUGGAGGCCCUGGAUACUGAGGAGGCAUUAGAGGAAAUGCUUGACUUAUUUGUUGAUAAGAAGGUACUGAACAUCAGUGUCAGAAAAGCUACUGAUCCAAGCCCAGCUGAUGAGGAACAAAUCCCCAUUGAUCAUGUUGGUGAACCUGUUGUUUACAGAGUUUCACAAGAAGGUGUUCUGUACCCUGCCUCUAAUGCUAUCUUGCCAUCUUUAACCCCUGAUGAGCCCUACAUGAACACACAGCAAAGCAGCAAUUUGAACAAGGGGAAAACAGUUGUGGAAGAAGAAGAUGUAGAAGAAGAAGCAGAUGAAGAAGAAGAAGAUGUACCAGAGGAAGAAGAUGAAGUUGAAGAUGACAAAUCAUCUUCAGAUUUUGAGUUCUUUAGGGGUGAUUACAGAGGGGAGAAAAUUUCUUACAAAGCUUGGUGUAGGGGUGAAGAUGAGGCUGGCACUGAUACUGCAGAGCACUAUUGUGCAGCUAACUCAGAACCUUCUGAGUUUUGGGAGGAAGAACCAAUAGUUUCUGAAGAUGAAGAAGUAGUGGAUCCUGCUGCUGUAACUACAAAAGCAUCCAAAAAGCUUAAGCCAGUUAGAAAACCUGGCCCAACUAGCAAGUCUCACAGUGAGCCUGAGCACAACAAGUUUGAAGAUUAUGUCCCUGAAGCUGAUGAGUACUGUUUUCCAGGUGAUUUUGGCAUAAGUGAUGAAGAGGAUGCACCAAGGCUGCCAUCUGGAAGAAAGAGUAGGAAGAAGCAGAAGAAGGAGAGGAGAUGGUAUGAUCCAAAAAGGCCUGAUGCACAUGAGCAGUUUUCAAUGCAUUUGUGCUUUGAAAAUGUAGUUGAGUUCAGAGAAGCACUUAGAAAUUUUCAUGUGAGGACUCUUAGGAAUUUUGAGUAUCACAGAAAUGAACCAACUAGGGUUAUUGCUUGGUGCUCUGAGAGAAAACAUGGUUGUGAGUUUUACAUAGUUGCCUCCAAGAUAGCUCAUGAGGCAACUUUCAGUAUCAAGAAGAUGAACCUGGAUCACACUUGUGGAGCAAGUGGAGAGAACACAAAGGUGACAGUCAGUUGGGUUGCUAAGGUUUGUGAGGAUACAGUCAGAUCCAACCCUGGAGCUGGUGUUGACACAAUUAUGUCAUACACAAAGAAGAAGUUUGGUGUGCAUGUGCCUAAAAGCUUGGCAUAUAGGGCAAGGAAGCAAGCAGUUGAGGUUGUGCAAGGAGAUCACAAACUCCAGUAUCACAGAAUAAGGGACAACCUGCAGUGUGUGCUAGAUACUAACCCUGGCAGUAGGUGCAUAGUAACAACACAUGAGGACCCACUUAACCCAGCUCCUACCCCAAGGUUUCACUAUAUGUUUUACUGCUUGUUUGCAUGCAAGGAGGGUUUUCUGAAUGGAUGCAGGCCAUUUAUAGGUAAGUAUUCAGAAAUUUAUAUGAUUUUUAAACAUUGAUGUACUUAGGCACUCAUGUUAUCAUGUUAGCAGGUCUGGAUGGUUGCUUCAUCAAGCUAAGCACUGGUCAGCAGAUAUUGGCAGCUACAGGGAGGGAUGGCAACAAUAACAUCUUCCCAAUAGCUUUUGGUGUUGUUGAUAAGGAAGAGACAGACAGUUGGACAUGGUUUCUCACACAGUUGAGAACAGUCAUUGGAACUGGCAAUAAGUUUGGCAAAUACACAAUUAUGUCUGACAGGCAGAAGGUAUUUUUCUGAACCUAGUCUUUACAUUUGCCUUUACAUUUGCCAUGAGUAAAAUGUUAUUCAGUAGUAACACUUAAGAUUACACUACAUUGAACAGGGAUUGUUGAAUGCAAUAGAUGAUGUAUUCCCUGACUCUCCACAAAGGUUUUGUCUUAGACAUAUUUAUGCCAAUUUUCAAUCUGCUGGUUUCAGAGGAGAGGAACUUAAGAAACAUUUAGAUCAGGCUGCCUAUUCCUUUACCAAACAUGGACAUGAUUUAGGCAUGGAGAAUUUGAAAAAAGAAAGUUUAGAAGCUUGGCAGUGGUUGUCACAGAUACCAGAGCAUACAUGGGCUAGGUAUAAAAUGGACACUGUGUGCAAAACAGACCUGUUAGUAAACAACCUUAGUGAGGUUUUCAAUAGAAUGAUAUUGGAUGUUAGGAAGAAACCAAUCAGGACUAUGUUAGAGGGCAUAAGAACAAAGCUGAUGAUUAAGUUUCAGAAGAUCAGAGAGAAGACAGAGACAUGCAGAUGGGAAAUCACACCUACUCAUUCAGAGAUUUUAGAAGAGGGGAAGAAAUGGGCUAAAUAUUGUGAAGCAUACAUGGCAGGGCCAGGCAUAUGGCAGGUCACUAGUAGCUCUGAAAACACAUAUUGUGUUAAUUUGAACAAUGAGACCUGUGACUGUAGGAGGUGGGACAUGACAGCUGUCCCCUGUAGUCAUGCCAUUGCUGCAAUGCAGAAAGUGAAGAUACACCCUGAAGACUAUGUUUCUGCUUUCUUCAAGAAACCCAUGUAUUGUGAAACAUAUAAGCACAUAAUAUUCCCUGUGCCAGGUCCUGACCAUUGGCCUCAUACACCUGGUGAUGAUAUUUCUCCCCCUGUUUUUUAGAGAAAAGAAAGGUAAAAAACAAACUGCCAGGAGGAAAGGCCUGUUUGAGGUGCCAGCUAAAAAGGAUACUUCUAGGAUUGGUACAGUGACAUGCAGCAACUGCAAGAAGCAAGGGCACAGGAUCAACAAUUGUGGUGUCCCUUUGAAACCUAAGUUCCAGAUGAGGCUGAACAAGCACCAGGUAUGUCCAUUCAUUCCAUUGUUACAUUCAUUGCAUUGUUACAUUCAUUUCAUUUGUAGGAAAAUAGUUCUAACUAAUAUUGUUGUGUAGGAAAAUAGAGCAAACUACUCUGAGGCUGGUUCUUCAAUGGCUGCAACUGCACAAAGGCCACCAAGGGUACCUGCUGCCUCUGCACCUGCACCAACUCCUCCUCCAAUAACAAGUGUGUCAACACAGACAACUUCUAGGUCAAGGAAAAGGGCAGCUCCAGCUACAACAGCAGUACCACCACCUCUCAAGAAGAGCAGGCCUAACACCUCUUCUUCAACACUAGUACCACCUAACACAACUAUUUCUGCCAAUGGAUCAAGGUCUUCUCCAGCAAAGAACGCAUGGUCAUCAAGGUCUUCUCCAGCAAAGAACACCAAGUCAGCUGCUGCCAAUAGAGCUGGCAAUGGAUCUUUCAUUGCUCCUAGACAAUCUGCUACAAGUGUUGUGCAGGAUGGGUCAAAGAGGGUCAGGAAGCCAUCUGGGAGGCUGAAAGAUUACUUUUAUGCAAGUGGUAACUAGCUGAAGUGGUUGAACUCCUCUGUUAUCCUAGGUUAUGUAUGCAAGUGCACUGUUUGAUUUGGUUUGUCAUAACACUGCCUCACUAAGUACUUGAUACUGCACUGUUUGAUUUGGUUUGUAAUAUGGUACUUUAUGUGGAUUCUGCACUUGUCUGCAACUUCAAUUCAUCUGCAACUGUUAUCUACAUGUGGAUUCAACACUUGAUAAAUUGAUGGUGCUGCUGACCAAGUGCAUUAUAAGAUACUGAGAUAUACAUAACUGACCAAAUGCAUACAUUUAUUCAGAAACAUCCAAAUGUUACAUAGAUAGAAAGAUAGUCUCAUAGAUUACAUCCAAAUCUCACAAAUACUACCAAAACUCUCUCUCAAAUUGACUUACAGAUAGCUAGAAAGAUAGAUAGCAAGAUAGAUAGAUAGGUAUAUAGAUGGAUGAGAUGAGAUUGAACAUAUCAGUCAUAGCGCUCAAAGAAACGGACCCACUUGGCCCUAGUUGCUGGAUGAGGAGCCAUGACUGCCCUCAUCCUUGCCCACCUAAUGAUCUCCAUGAAUGACCUUCCCCUGCCGCCAGUGAAAACCAGCUCUAGUUCUCAUCAUUGCACUUCUCCAGUUCGGAGAGUCGGCGGUUGAACUCCUCUUGCUGCUCAUCCUGGGCCGCCUCUAGUGCCCUCUGCCUGCGCCUCCUCCUCCUCCUCCUCUGUGCUGCUGCUGCUGUCCUAACCUCCACAGCCUCCCCCUCUUCCUCUAUGACAUCUCCCAUGUCAGGAUCCAUCCGUGGUUUUCUUUUGGGUGGCGGCUGGUGGAGUAACUGGGAAAGGGUGGGGGUGGGGAGGGGUUUAUAUUGACAGAUGGAUGGGGUUGGGUUUAGUAGGCCUAGGGUUGCAUUUGGUCAAAGACUAGUGGGCCACUAAGCCCAAUUACACACAGAAAUAAUAUUAGUAGGCUAACAAAUAACAUAUAAAAGAUAUAAGAUCAAGUUGAACACUUAGUAGCAUACAUUCUACAUUUCCACAACUUAGUAGCAUAAGAGAUCCAUUUCCA